rnacentral:tRNA from 1 species
AGAAGUUUAGGUUAACAUAUUAGACCCGGGGCCUUCAAAGCCCCAAGUAGGGGUGAAAACCCCCUAACUCCUG